GCCUACGGGGCGCAGCAGUAGGGAAUCUUCCACAAUGGGCGAAAGCCUGAUGGAGCAACGCCGCGUGGGUGAAGAAGGUUUUCGGAUCGUAAAACCCUGUUGUUAGAGAAGAAAGUGCGUGAGAGUAACUGUUCACGUUUCGACGGUAUCUAACCAGAAAGCCACGGCUAACUACGUGCCAGCAGCCGCGGUAAUACGUAGGUGGCAAGCGUUAUCCGGAUUUAUUGGGCGUAAAGAGAACGCAGGCGGUCUUUUAAGUCUGAUGUGAAAGCCUUCGGCUUAACCGGAGUAGUGCAUUGGAAACU
rnacentral:rRNA from 1 species